rnacentral:lncRNA from 1 species
UACCUUGCCUUUCCCACAUUUCUAGCUCCAUUCUUAUAAAAUAUAUUUUUUAAAGCUAGAGAGUGAGCAUGGGACUUAGACAUGUCUCUGUUGGUAACAUGCUUGCUGGGUAAGCAGGAAAACCCGAGUUCUACUCCCAGUGUUCACGUAGAAGCCAUGCCUGUAGAGUAUAGGCCUCACACAACCGUAACUCAGCGGUGAGGAGGCAGAGCCAGGAAGAAUCCUGGGGCUCUCUGACCAGCUACUGUAGACAAGUGGGUGAGCACCAGGUUCAGUCAGAGACCCAGUCUCAGACAAUAAGAUGGAGAGUGAUGGAGACACCCGACAUCAGCCCUGCCUCAAAAACAAAAGGAUGAAGUACUACAUUAAUUGCGAUUGUCUUGCCAUUAUCCCUACCAUGUGACUUGUUGGAAAAUGUCCUCAGGAGAAGAUGCUGGGGUGCUCAGGGGUGUCGUGUUAAAUCAGUGAGCUCUGAAGUGGCCCAGCAAAGCCGGUUCUUGUGCACGACACACAAGUGUCUGCAGCCAGAGAAUCUGGGUGAGCGACAGAUGUGUUCAUUGUUCUCUCAUUUCUGUGCAUUCAGACUUACAAGAUUAUCAAUGCACCAAGGAAGCUGGGGAGAGACUGGCCAUUGUCUCACUGUCACUUAGGUGCUGGCCUCUCCCUGGGGGCCUCCGCAGAUGCUUAGAGGCAUCUGUUUGUGCAGUUUGUCAAGGAAACAGGAAAACAGACACUCUGAGUAUAGGUAUAGCAGCUACCCUGAAUGUAUUUUCUGAAGAAAAGGGAGCUGUUACAACUUUUAUAGGCAUAGACAAAAGGAAAUGAUAAACAAACAUGUUCAGUGUAUACCUUGGUGGGGGACCAUCUGUAAAUGAGUUUAGGCAAAGAGGAAAAUUCCUGGCUACUGGGCUGUGUCGGGGUUAUUCUGUAUUCUUAUCUUUAUAUCACCAUGCAGAAGUUGCCCAUCUGGUAUUUGCAUGAAGAAAUUCACAAAAAAUUCUUUAUGAAUGCAUAAUUUUACAACAUGAAUAAAAUGUCCUGACCACCACUGCUGGCUUUUAGUGAGUUUCCUUGAGAACAAGACUCUAAAGGAUGACUCACUGGGUUGAAGGGUAUAUGCAUUUAGAGGUCUUGCUGCUUGCUGUACAACUUGUAAUCCCGUUUUAUGCUUGUAAUGCUCACUUAUCUGAUAUAAUGUGAUCCCUUUCGGGAGCUUAAUUGCUUUCGCUAUGGAUUUCUGUGGCGUUGAUUACUCUUGCUACUUACAUUUAUUGUUUGUAAAUAGUUUAUUCAUUCCACAAAUGGUCAUUAAACAUUAGGCAGUCUUUCUGGCACUGGGAUUAUAGCAAGAAAACAACGCAGGCAGAAUUUCCAUGAGCUCAUGUUCUAUUUAAGAAGAUCAUACAGAGAAGGGUGAGACGUGGCAGAAGGGAGAGAGAAGAAAGCAGUUAAGGAGGCGGGAGCAGCACCAUCAGUGAGUGGGUGGGAAGAGAAAGCAGCCUAGAGUCAGGUUAGAUCUGCUUUGAACAGACUUUGAACAGAGAUGCUCAAAUAAAGCCAUAGGUCUGUAGCCAGGCUGUUUUCUACCAGCACCCUAGUUCCCAUGUAAUGACGCAGACUUAAUUAUUUACUAAUAAGAGCCUAGGCCAUAAGCUUGGUCCUGACUAGCUCACAACUUUCACAAUCUGUUCAUUGUAUUGUUUUCUAUGUGUGCCAUGUGGCUGGUUACUGCUCCUUGGUUUCAUAUGUCCAUCUCCUCCGAGUCCAAGUGACGAAUGUCCCAUGCCUGACUGACUCCCCAGAGCUCCUGUCUUUCUACUAGAACUCCCCCCUCCUAUUUCCUGACUUGCUCAUUGGCCAUCAGCUUUUUAUUGACAGUUGAUGCUUCCAAAGAGUUCACAGAGAUUCUCUCUACCUAGGUCUAGGAGAGUAUUCUGGCGUGGGGAACAGCAAGCACCAAGGCUCUGACAUAGGGGAUUGCUCUUCUAAAGGGGAGAGAGCCUUGAGCCUUGAGCAAAAAGAAUCCUCAAAAUAUAGUUCUUUAACUCCAGAGGAAAAAACACAUAUUUUCUGCUUAGAGAUUUUCUAUUUCUGCAUUGCGUCUCUCUCUCUCUCUCUCUCUCUCUCUCUCUCUCUGUUAUAUUGACUUGGGUUGAUGUAUGCACAUGUGUAUGGUAUAUGCACUUGUGUAUGGUGUGUAUGUGUGUGUGUGACAUAUGCAUUUGUGUGUGGUGUAUACACACAUGUGUGUGCUGGUAUGCUCACUGGAGGCCAGAAGACAUCCAGUGUCCUGCUUUACCAGUCUGCCUUGUUCCCUUUAGAUAGGGUCUCUGAACCUAGAGCCAGGCUGGCAGCCAGCAAGCCACAGCAGUUCUCUGUACUGGGACUGUAGGCAUAAACGUCCAUGCUCAGCUUUCUAUCUGGGUGCUGGGAUUGGACCUCAGUCCUCACACUUGCAGAGCCAUCUCCAGGGCUCCUGUUCCCUUUGUCAGCAGUACAUGGACUUCUCUUGCUUUAGAAAUGUUAGCGUUUCAGUAGUUUUGGAGUUUGUUGGUAUAGACAUGUAGUGAUGUAUUUCUGUACUCUCCAGAUUUAGCACAUUUGUUUAGGGUUCUUUUUUGCUCAUCCCACUGUCAUGUGCUGAGGUUUCUAGAGGCAUGGAUGGAAGUGUUUGCUGGCAGUUCUAGAGAUCACUCCUCGCCUCUCACAUCCGAGCACAGGCUUUCCCACUCCGCUGCAUCCUGAGCCCCAUGCUUUGGAUGACGAUUUCCUACCCCACCCCUUUACCUUCUUUCAGACUUUUCCAUCGGGAAGGAUCCAAAAGCUGCUUCAGCUGUUUAUGAUUUGGAGUGCACACUGUUAUUUCCCUGUCUUCUGGGACGUCUGUCUGUCUGCAGGCAUGCGGUUUCAUUAUAUGCCUACUCGCUGCCUGCGAGAGUCAAUAUUUAAUAAUAUUUGUUGAGUGAAUAUUGGAUGACAUUAAGUAGAACUUCUAGAAGUCGGGUGCCAGUAGGUUUGAGAACUGUAACCAUAUCUGUGAAAUUGAUACCAACACAAACUGGAAAAUGAUCAGGAUAGAACCAAAGGCCAGAGCGCUCCCACACAGAUUACAGAAGCCUGCCCAGGGAUGAGGAAGGAGCUGGGUCAUGGAACAAGGAAAAUCAGAAAGAAUACAGCAGUGUCAAGUAAGAAAAGAUAAAGUGUCUGUGGGCCAAGUAACUGGGAAGCCACAUGUGACCCAGGGAAGAGCGUGUUCCGUGCUAAGGGGCUGUGCUGGGGAGAGUACAGAAGCAAGCGCAGCCUGACAUUUCAUCAAGGCUAGACAGAAGGGAAGAAGGAAGAGAAGAGGCCCUCUACUUACUGUGUUCUUUGGGGAAUGGAUCUGAAUUGCCCUCUAGAGAAGGAGAAACUGAGGAGCUAGAAAAGAAAACAGGGUGAAGGCCAGGGAGGACAGUGAGUGAGGUGCAGAGCAGAUCACUGUCAGGUCACCUGUUCAGUGGUGUCAUGUUGGUGGGGAAAUGUCUGACUGCAGAGGUGUGUCUUGGUUUCUGUGCAUUCGCAGUAAUGGCUGAGUUCAUGGCUCAAGUCACAUGUCUCUCUCCUCACCUUUGCAGGCCUGGCUCGUUGUCUGUGAGCAUCCUGUGCUCCCAAGAGGAUCUCCUAGACUGGGUUUUAAAACUUUGUAGGUAAUCUUUUUGUUUUUCUUUUUCUUAAAAGUUAAGCCUUCAGAAUUUACAUUUAAAUUAGGCAUCUAAAUUUAAUAAAGAAUAUAUUGAACCUU